GAUGAACGCUGGCGGCGUGCCUAAUACAUGCAAGUCGAGCGAACAGACGAGGAGCUUGCUCCUCUGACGUUAGCGGCGGACGGGUGAGUAACACGUGGAUAACCCACCUAUAAGACUGGGAUAACUUCGGGAAACCGGAGCUAAUACCGGAUAAUAUAUUGAACCGCAUGGUUCAAUAGUGAAAGACGGUUUUGCUGUCACUUAUAGAUGGAUCCGCGCCGCAUUAGCUAGUUGGUAAGGUAACGGCUUACCAAGGCAACGAUGCGUAGCCGACCUGAGAGGGUGAUCGGCCACACUGGAACUGGGACACGGUCCAGACUCCUACGGGAGGCAGCAGUAGGGAAUCUUCCGCAAUGGGCGAAAGCCUGACGGAGCAACGCCGCGUGAGUGAUGAAGGUCUUCGGAUCGUAAAACUCUGUUAUUAGGGAAGAACAAAUGUGUAAGUAACUAUGCACGUCUUGACGGUACCUAAUCAGAAAGCCACGGCUAACUACGUG
rnacentral:rRNA from 1 species